rnacentral:rRNA from 1 species
UACAGAGGGUGCGAGCGUUGUUCGGAAUUAUUGGGCGUAAAGGGUGCGUAGGCGGUGCCACAAGUCACUUGUGAAAUCCCCAGGCUUAACCUGGGGCCUGCAGGCGAAACUGCGGGACUAGAGUGUGGGAGAGGAAAGUGGAAUUCCUGGUGUAGCGGUGAAAUGCGUAGAUAUCAGGAGGAACACCGGUGGUGUAAACGGCUUUCUGGACCAUAACUGACGCUGAGGCACGAAAGCGUGGGUAGCAAACAGG